CUCAAGACUAAGCCAUGCAUGUCUAAGUAUAAACGUUUCUAUACUGUGAAACUGCGAAUGGCUCAUUAAAUCAGUUAUAGUUUAUUUGAUGGUUCCUUACUACUUGGAUAACCGUAGUAAUUCUAGAGCUAAUACAUGCAGAAAGUCCCGACUUCUGGAAGGGAUGUAUUUAUUAGAUCCAAAACCAGCGCGAGUUGCCUCCGGGUGGCUCGGUUGCUUGGUGAUUCAUGAUAACUGCUCGAAUCGCAUGGCCUUGUGCCGGCGAUGAUCCAUUCAAAUUUCUGCCCUAUCAACUUUCGAUGGCAAGGUAGUGGCUUGCCAUGGUGACAACGGGUGACGGAGAAUUAGGGUUCGAUUCCGGAGAGGGAGCCUGAGAAACGGCUACCACAUCCAAGGAAGGCAGCAGGCGCGCAAAUUACCCAAUCCCGACUCGGGGAGGUAGUGACAAUAAAUAACAAUGCUGGGCUAUCAUAGUCUGGCAAUUGGAAUGAGUACAAUCUAAACCCCUUAACGAGGAACAAUUGGAGGGCAAGUCUGGUGCCAGCAGCCGCGGUAAUUCCAGCUCCAAUAGCGUAUAUUAAAGUUGUUGCAGUUAAAAAGCUCGUAGUUGGAUUUCGGGGCAGCCCGGCUGGUCCGUCGCGAGGCGAGUACUGGUCGGCCGCCCUUCCUCUCGAAAGCCCCGACUGCUCUUCACUGUAGUGGUCGGGGAGUUCGGGACGUUUACUUUGAAAAAAUUAGAGUGUUCAAGGCAGGCAAUCGCCUGAAUACAUUAGCAUGGAAUAAUGGAAGAGGACCUCGGUCCUAUUUUGUUGGUUUCUAGGGCCGAAGUAAUGAUUAAGAGGGACAGUUGGGGGCAUUCGUAUUUAAUUGUCAGAGGUGAAAUUCUCGGAUUUAUGAAAGACGAACAACUGCGAAAGCAUUUGCCAAGGAUGUUUUCAUUAAUCAAGAACGAAAGUUAGGGGUUCGA
rnacentral:rRNA from 1 species